GUAGGUGGCAAGCGUUGUCCGGAAUUAUUGGGCGUAAAGCGCGCGCAGGCGGGUCCUUUAAGUCUGAUGUGAAAGCCCACGGGCUCAACCGUGGAGGGUCAUUGGAAACUGGGGGACUUGAGUACAGAAGAGGAAAGCGGAAUUCCAAGUGUAGCGGUGAAAUGCGUAGAGAUUUGGAGGAACACCAGUGGCGAAGGCGGCUUUCUGGUCUGUAACUGACGCUGAGGCGCGAAAGCGUGGGGAGCAAACAGGAUUAGAUACCCUGGUAGUCCACGCCGUAAACGAUGAGUGCUAAGUGUUAGGGGGGUUUCCGCCCCUUAGUGCUGCAGCUAACGCAUUAAGCACUCCGCCUGGGGAGUACGGCCGCAAAGGCUG
rnacentral:rRNA from 1 species